UUACCCUUAUCUGGGGGAUAGCCCGGUGAAAACCGGAUUAACACCCCAUAGUAUUUUUGGAAGGCAUCUUUUAGGAAUUAAAAAUUUAUUGGAUAGGGAUGGGCGUGCGUAAGAUUAGCUAGUUGGAGAGGUAACGGCUCACCAAGGCGACGAUCUUUAGCUGAUGUGAGAGCAUGAUCAGCCACACGGGCACUGAGACACGGGCCCGACUCCUACGGGAGGCAGCAGUGAGGAAUAUUGGUCAAUGGGCGGAAGCCUGAACCAGCCAUGCCGCGUGAAGGACGAAGGCGUUCUGCGUUGUAAACUUCUUUUAUCUGGGAAGAAACCUACGAUUUCUAUUGUAGCCGACGGUACCAGAUGAAUAAGCACCGGCUAACUCCGUGCCAGCAGCCGCGGUAAUACGGAGGGUGCAAGCGUUAUCCGGAUUCACUGGGUUUAAAGGGUGUGUAGGCGGGCUUGUAAGUCAGGGGUGAAAUCCUACAGCUUAACUGUAGAACUGCCUUUGAUACUAUGAGUCUUGAAUAUUGUGAGGUAGGCGGAAUACAUCAUGUAGCGGUGAAAUGCUUA
rnacentral:rRNA from 1 species